AAGGCAGAAAGUAGGUCAGGGACGGAGGUGCCUGUUUACCCGCGCCGGACUCACCGCCGCCGCCGCCGCGGGAUCCGAGUGGGGGCGCGGACGCGGGCGCUCCCGCGAGCCUCGGUGGUGCUGGUUAGAGUACACACUUUUGGAUCCAAAGUUAAGUUUUCAAAUGUGGAAUCCUAGGCCUUCACUGGUUUCUGGAAGAAGUUGACUGCCUGAAAGGAAACUACAAAACAUGAGACUCGCUUUGAGGUGACCAAUAAGUCCCGUGGCCCCUUGCUCCGCCCAGGGUGGAUCUGAGCUUUAAGAACUAU
rnacentral:lncRNA from 1 species